rnacentral:rRNA from 1 species
CCUACGGGCGGCAGCAGUGGGGAAUAUUGCACAAUGGGGGGAACCCUGAUGCAGCAACGCCGCGUGGGUGAAGAAGUACUCCGGUAUGUAAAGCCCUGUCAGCAGGGAAGAAAAUGACGGUACCUGACCAAGAAGCCCCGGCUAACUACGUGCCAGUAGCCGCGGUAAUACGUAGGGGGCAAGCGUUAUCCGGAUUUACUGGGUGUAAAGGGAGCGUAGACGGCAAGGCAAGUCUGGAGUGUAAGCCCGUGGCUCAACCGCGGGACUGCUUUGGAAACUGUGUUGCUGGAGUGCAGGAGGGGUAAGCGGAAUUCCUAGUGUAGCGGUGAAAUGCGUAGAUAUUAGGAGGAACACCGGUGGCGAAGGCGGCUUACUGGACUGUAACUGACGUUGAGGCUCGAAGGCGUGGGGAGCAAACAGGAUUAGAUACCCGGGUAGUC